GGGCCGGUAGUUCAGGGGUAGAAUGUCCGCCUUGCACGCGGAAGAUUAUAGGUAUACUAUAAUCAGCGAGAGGUCGAGGGUUCAAAUCCCUCCCGGUCCA
rnacentral:tRNA from 1 species